ACACUCUGGUUUCUCUUCAUAUCGCAUAAAUCUUUCGCCUUUUACUAAAGAUUUCCGUGGAGAGGAACAAUUCUGAGGUCUUAAGUAAUUUUUUGAGGCUUUGCUUUAGCAAAGCU
rnacentral:snRNA from 1 species